GCCUCUGUAGCUCAGUCGGUAGAGCAGGGGACUGAAAAUCCCCGUGGAUUCCGAUCGGAGGCA
rnacentral:tRNA from 1 species